CGAGCGGAAACGAUGGAGCUUGCUCCAGGCGUCGAGCGGCGGACGGGUGAGUAAUGCAUAGGAAUCUGCCCGGUAGUGGGGGAUAACCUGGGGAAACUCAGGCUAAUACCGCAUACGUCCUACGGGAGAAAGCGGGGGCUCUUUGGACCUCGCGCUAUCGGAUGAGCCUAUGCCGGAUUAGCUAGUUGGUGAGGUAAUGGCCCACCAAGGCGACGAUCCGUAGCUGGUCUGAGAGGAUGAUCAGCCACAUCGGGACUGAGACACGGCCCGAACUCCUACGGGAGGCAGCAGUGGGGAAUAUUGGACAAUGGGGGCAACCCUGAUCCAGCCAUGCCGCGUGUGUGAAGAAGGCUUUCGGGUUGUAAAGCACUUUCAGUGAGGAAGAAGGCCUUGGGGUUAAUACCCCCGAGGAAGGACAUCACUCACAGAAGAAGCACCGGCUAACUCCGUGCCAGCAGCCGCGGUAAUACGGAGGGUGCAAGCGUUGUCCGGAAUCACUGGGCGUAAAGGGUGCGCAGGCGGGGCAGCAAGUCGGAGGUGAAAGCCCGUGGCUCAACCACGGAAGUGCCUUCGAAACUGUUGCUCUUGAGUCCCGGAGAGGUUGCCGGAAUUCGUGGUGUAGCGGUGAAAUGCGUAGAUAUCACGAGGAACACCAGAGGCGAAAGCGGGCAACUGGACGGGUACUGACGCUCAGGCACGAAAGCGCGGGGAGCAAACA
rnacentral:rRNA from 1 species